UCGCUGCAUCUUUGGACAUGUUCUUAGAUUAAAAAAUGAAUAGAAUUUGGGUUUUGAAGGCUAAGAUCAGGCGAAGUGGUCUUGGGCUGGAUCAGUUCUUGGCCCGCUCUCGCUGUGACGUGGCAUGCGCGGAUUGGCCUCUCUCGCGGCGAUUGUUGCCGUCGUCGAUACUUGGCCGAUUUCGCACCGAUUUCCGGUAAAAUCGGAGCCUAAUCGAUCUUUGCUUCGUUCUCUGCUAUCCCUUUUCGUUAUUCCUUUUAUUUUCCUCUUCUUUUUGCCGAUACACCAUCUCUAGGGCGACAAAGAUCUCCGACGAUCUCGAGGCCACAUCCGACUUCUCCGAUUGAUUUCGCCUCACCCAUCUGGUGUUUCAUCGUUUCCUCUUUCUCCCAAAGCCGUAGGUGAGGUAGCUCUGAAGUUUAAAUCGGAGUAGCAACACCAACAACCAUUUCCUGCCAUCUAUAAGAUAGUUGAGUAGUGCUUUGUUAAUAAGUGGUGAAACCUAUUCCGCUUUGAAGUUAACGAAAGUGUGUGUUACUUGGGAGGAUAACAUUCAAAUUUACUGAACUUUUCCUUUACUUGUUUUACUGGUUAUUUGAUGAUUGAAAUGGUGGCUGGUUACUUUGGAUGUGAUGAAUGAGCUUUCUUGGUUGUAAACAGACUAGUAAUGUCUGUUUAACUUUCUAGUUGUGGAAAGUUAUAAUAAAUACUGAUCUGACCUUGGUAGUUCAAGGUUAGCUCUCAUUAUGAGUUUGCUACUUUAAAGCUUUUUUGGUUUGAAAGUGUCUUUAUACCUGAUUUGAUUGUGGUAGGUAAUGAUACUUUAAGACUAAUAACUAGUUUAACUUACCUCUAUUAAACCUGAGGUAUGUUAAAUUCAU